UUUGGCUGGUGGUGGGUGGUUGAGAGCAUCCUGCUUCUGAACAGGCUGGUUCUCCUUUGGAUCUUACAGAUGUUUUGUGAUUAUCUAUUGUUUAAAGGAACAGGGCUUGUGAGUGGAUUAAAAACUCACUGUUAUCUACAAAUGAAGCAUACUCCUACAAGGAGAGCUGAAAAGGAUGCAAAUCUAUUCUACAAUUUAAACUUGAACUGUUUAUGACAGAUGUAUAUUAAUAUAAAAUUCUUUUCUUAAUGCACACAUGGGCGAAGCAGAUUGCACAGAAAUUACUGGGCUAAUUAAAAUUGAGCGAAUGUUUUAAUUUCUGUUAAAUACAACAGCAUAUUUUCUACCUGCAUCAGC